CCUACGGGAGGCUGCAGUGGGGAAUAUUGGACAAUGGGGGGAACCCUGAUCCAGCCAUGCCGCGUGUGUGAAGAAGGCCCUCGGGUUGUAAAGCACUUUCAGUGAGGAAGAACGCCUGGUGGUUAAUACCCAUCAGGAAAGACAUCACUCACAGAAGAAGCACCGGCUAACUCCGUGCCAGCAGCCGCGGUAAUACGGAGGGUGCGAGCGUUAAUCGGAAUUACUGGGCGUAAAGCGCGCGUAGGUGGCUUGAUAAGCCGGUUGUGAAAGCCCCGGGCUCAACCUGGGAACGGCAUCCGGAACUGUCAAGCUAGAGUGCAGGAGAGGAAGGUAGAAUUCCCGGUGUAGCGGUGAAAUGCGUAGAGAUCGGGAGGAAUACCAGUGGCGAAGGUGGCCUUCUGGACUGACACUGACACUGAGGUGCGAAAGCGUGGGUAGCAAACAGGAUUAGAUACCCUGGUAGUC
rnacentral:rRNA from 1 species